rnacentral:sRNA from 1 species
UCAUAAUUAUUUUUGGACAUAUGCAAAAAUAAAAAGAUCUACAUAAAGAAGAGGGUAUUCGUCUGAAUCAGAUGAAGAUUAAUAACCUUGAAGUGUUUGAUGAGGCAUGUGAUUUUUGCUUGCACAUCCACACACAACUCUCCAUUAACCACAAUACUCACCGUUAUUUCUGAAAUUUAUGGUGUAGUUGUACUUGCGGAACAAUAUGAAAGUGAAGGUGAGAUCAGAGUUUAUACAGUUGUGGAAACAACUUCUUUGAUGGUUGUAGAUCCCGCAAUCGUAGAAACAACCUUAAUGAUGAUUGUAGUUUCGAUGAUAAAUAUUGGUCCAUUUUCUUAGCAAACAAUCUCCUCUUCUAUACUUGUCAAACAUUCAUAUUCUUUGGUCAUGCAAUUUUGUUUAAUAUUUGAUGAUGUUUGAAUAGCGGUUGUACAAAUGUAUUUACUUUCUAAUUUUUAUUUUAAGCAUG